rnacentral:tRNA from 1 species
GCGGGUGUGGCGGAAUUGGUAGACGCGCCAGACUUAGGAUCUGGUGGGCUUUCGCUCGUGGGGGUUCGAGUCCCUCCACCCGCA